GAUGAAGAACGUAGCGAAAUGCGAUACGUAAUGUGAAUCGCAGAAUUCAGUGAAUCAUCGAAUCUUUGAACGCAUAUUGCGCUCUCUGGUAUUCCGGAGAGCAUGCUUGUUUGAGUAUCAGUAAACACCUCAACUUCCAUAUCUUUUUUGAAAUGGGAGUUGGACUUGAGUGAUCCCAACGCUUUUCCUCACCGAAAAGUGGCGGGUUACUUGAAAUGCAGGUGCAGCUGGACUUUUCUCUGAGCUAUAAGCAUAUCUAUUUAGUCUGCCUAAAAAACAGAUUAUUACCUUUGCUGCAGCUAACAUAAAGGAGAUUAGUUCUUGUGCUGACUGAUGCAGGAUUCACAAAAACGGCUUCGGCCGACUUUGUAAACUCGAUCUCAAAUCAAGUAAGACUACCCGCUGAACUUAAGCAUAUCAAUAAGCGGAGGA
rnacentral:misc_RNA from 1 species